UACGAAGGGUGCAAGCGUUACUCGGAAUUACUGGGCGUAAAGCGUGCGUAGGCGGUUUGUUAAGUCCGCUGUGAAAGCCCUGGGCUCAACCUGGGAAUUGCAUUCGAGACUGAAUAGCUAGGGUACGGUAGAGGGAAGUGGAAUUUCCGGUGUAGCGGUGAAAUGCGUAGAUAUCGGAAGGAACAUCAGUGGCGAAGGCGACUUCCUGGACCAGUACCGACGUUCAGGCACGAAAGCGUGGGGAGCAAACAGG
rnacentral:rRNA from 1 species